rnacentral:rRNA from 1 species
CCUACGGGAGGCAGCAGUGGGGAAUAUUGGGCAAUGGGCGCAAGCCUGAACCAGCAACGCCGCGUGAAGGAAGACGGCUUUCGGGUUGUAAACUUCUUUUUAGAGGGAAGAGCAGAAGACGGUACCUAUUGAAUAAGACACGGCUAAAUAAGUGCCAGCAGCCGCGGUAAUACGUAGGUGGCAAGCGUUGUCCGGAUUUACUGGGUGUAAAGGGAGUGCAGCCGGGAAGACAGGUCAUAUGUGAAAUCCCGCGGCUCAACCGCGGAACUGCAGUUGAAACUGUUUUUCUUGAGUACCGGAGAGGUAAUCGGAAUUCCUUGUGUAGCGGUGAAAUGCGUAGAUAUAAGGAAGAACACCAGUGGCGAAGGCAGAUUACUGGACGGCAACUGACGGUGAGGCGCGAAAGCGUGGGUAGCAAACAGGAUUAGAUACCCUAGUAGUC